rnacentral:lncRNA from 1 species
ACUUUAUAUUGAAUUAUGUAUAAGGACACUAACAUCUUACACAACUCAGAUGUGAGGCAUGAGUGUUGAGGACUAUUUAAGAUGCUUGCAAGGGUUUAAUGUUCAAUUUCGGUUAAAUUUGUGUUAAGCUUGUACAUCAGGCUCCCAGAUCUACUUCUGCUCUACUGCUUUUAGUGCUGUUGUAUGGGGUUGUUUUAUCCAAAGUGCAGGACUCUGGAUGUGUGACAUCUUAUCAAUGUCCCUUCAAUCAAUAUUUAGCUCAGUGUAAUCUGUGGCUUGCUAUUGGAUGGAGAACAUACCUGUCAUACUACUGACCAUUGGUGUUGAGAUGUACUUGAGAAGUAGUUAUGGAAGGCAUAGUACUGUUUCUUUUAAGCAUCCCAAGUAAUUGGGUAUGUGAGGAAUCAUUUAAACUUUUACAAACUGGCAAUGGUUUUCCUUUAAAAACUUUUUUUAUUGUGCAUUGAAUAUUUAGGAGUACAGUAUGUACUGUGACUAGUGCAAAAGAAUAUAGUUGUCUUUUCUUUCCAAUAUGCAUUUCAUUUGUGUGAAAGGAAUUUCACUUCCAUCUGUGAAAAGAUACCUUUUCCAUGAUUUUAAAGUGCUUUAAGGUCUUCACAAAGAUGUGAUGUGAUGAUUGCCUCACCACAACUAAAGCAUUUUUUUAACCAUGCAGUUAAAAACUUGUUUUUGUAUAUGAAUAGAGGUUGUCAUUUAGUUGUUGCCUUUGUGAUUUUUAUGCUCUCUGCAUAUUUCACUUUGUUGUAAGUAAAUUCCUUUUAGUACAUCCAGAGUUUCUGAAGUUACAUAGCCAAUGUGGCAUCUAAGCCCUACUAAUUACAGCUGUUUUUCAAAACUGUCCGAUUCAGGAAAUGAUAAAUGCAGCUGAGUUAGUCUUUUGAGAUCUCUUGCCUUGGGGGUAACACCCAAAGUUUCUUUGCUGUGAGGACAGUGACGUGGGGCUUCUUCAAAUUUGUCUUCUGUCUUUUUUGCACUGUUAACAGGUACAAAACAAAGAAAUGAAGAUGUGUAAGACAAUACCUACAUUCAUCCUGUUGUUUACAGGUGAGUGAAAAUUUCUUUUUUCUUUUUCUUUUCUCAGCUUUACUUUCUCUUCAAUACUUUCAGUUUUUCUUUGAAGAUAUUCCUGUGUUUUUUCUAUCUGGUAACUAAUAUGAGUCGAUGUAUAAAUCAUUAUAGAUUCAUUUAAGGUGUUUCUCUGUGCAUUAUUACUCUUUCCCACAUGGAAGAUUACCUUAGCUACAUCUCUGUUGAUAAAAUAAAGUUCACUUAAAAAGCAUGAACGUACUUUGCCAUAUAAAUUUCUGCAGCACCUCUAAUAAUCAACCUUGAAGAGUAAGUCAGUCUGCUGUAUUUAAAGAAACCCCUUGCAGAAAUUUUCACUGUAAUACCUUUUCAUUGGCAAAAAAAAAAAAAAAUAGGAUUGAAGUUGUGCAAACAGACUUCUUUAAAACUUGGUCAUGCUAAAGGCAGCAAUAGACCAAUGAUUUAAGAAGGUGCUGGGAGGUGUUGAGGGGAAAGUGGUUAAUGGACCUUCUUAUCACGAGAGCACACACGCUCACCAGCUUGGCCAACAAUUUAUGCUAUCUUUCUUCAAAGGAGUUAAUGGAGAUAUGUGUAUCUUUAAGCACAUUCUGUGGAGCUGUGCUCUACUUGGCAGAGUCCUGUGAAAGCUUCAGUGACAAGGCAAACUUUUCUCCUAACUACUGAGCAACUUAAACUCAUCGCUGGAGAGAGGCAGCCUCCUCCUCUGAGUACUGCUUGGUUUUUUUUUGUUUAAUUGCAGUGUCAUGGGCACCCGCUUACAGAGAAGCUCUGGAGGUUAUGCUAUAAUGCUAGGAAGAACUUUUAAGUUAACAGGGGCUCACAGGAGAUGAGAGUUAUGUAAGAUGUUUGAGGAUGCACUUUUUGAACUUGCAUAUUCGUCUAAGAAUAUCACGUGCCACUGCUUUGUUGCUCUUUCAUAGUCAAUUAUUUCCUCUGUGGAACCUCCUGAAACGCCACUGGUUAAACUUAACUUCCACAGAAGAGGUUUUCUUUUGUUUUUAGUGUCACAACUGUGACAGUGCAAGAAAG